CUCAUUAUCUCCCGGAUCAAUUUCGGCGCUCGUGCGCCUUUCAAUGUAGCUCACAAAGGCUGCGUCUGAGAGGAAUGCGAGUUGUAAAUGAUCCUUUUAGCGAAGCUUGACCGCCUCGCUAUCGGAACGAUCUUACGAAGCAAGCUGGUCUUUCUAAUCAUUGUCCGGCUGCAGAUAGCGUUCAUCGAGGGCGCGUGCCGCAAGGUAAUUCUGCAGACAACAUUCUGCCGAGUGUGUGGACAUUGAUAAUGAGAGCA
rnacentral:misc_RNA from 1 species